GACGAACGCUGGCGGCGUGCUUAACACAUGCAAGUCGAACGGAAAGGCCCUGCUUUUGUGUGGUGCUCGAGUGGCGAACGGGUGAGUAACACGUGAGUAACCUGCCCUUGACUUUGUGAUAACUUCAGGAAACUGCGGCUAAUACCGGAUAGGAGCUCCUGCUGCAUGUUGGGGGUUGGAAAGUUUCGGCUGUUGGGGAUGGACUCGCGGCUUAUCAGCUUGUUGGUGUGGUAGUGGCUUACCAAGGCUUUGACGGGUAGCCUGCAUGAGAGGGUGACCGGGCACAUUGGGACUGAGGUACGGACCAGACUGCUACGGGAGGCAGCAGUGGGGAAUAUUGCACAAUGGGGGGAAGCCUGAUGCAGCAACGCCGCGUGCGGGAUGACGGCCUUCGGGUUGUAAACCGCUUUCGCCUGUGAUGAAGCGUGAGUGACGGUAAUGGGUAAAGAAGCACCGGCUAACUACGUG
rnacentral:rRNA from 1 species